rnacentral:rRNA from 1 species
UACGGAGGGUGCAAGCGUUAUCCGGAUUCACUGGGUUUAAAGGGUGCGUAGGUGGGCAAGUAAGUCAGUGGUGAAAUCUCCGGGCUUAACCCGGAAACUGCCAUUGAUACUAUUUGUCUUGAAUACUGUGGUGGUCAGCGGAAUAUGUCAUGUAGCGGUGAAAUGCUUGGAUAUGACAUAGAACACCAAUUGCGAAGGCAGCUGGCUACACAAAUAUUGACACUGAGGCACGAAAGCGUGGGGAUCAAACAGG